rnacentral:misc_RNA from 1 species
UCAAGAUCAAAAGCAUUCAUCUAUAUUUUCAUGUUGGAUCCUUUUUGUUGUUUGUGUGAUGUUGCUAUUGAUUUUUCAGUCAUUUAUUUUGAUCCUAACCGAAUUAAAAAAAAGAAAAAAAAAUCUAUCAUAAGAAUUAAGAACACUAGAAUAGAUUAGAAUGGUAACUUGUAAAUAAUAGAAUAGACUAGAUUAUUGUAGUAAGUAGUCAAAUAGAUUGUUGUGUGUAAUGUAACAGAAUUUUAGAAAA